rfam:Alligator mississippiensis ScZkoYb_57, whole genome shotgun sequence.
AGAACCACCUGGCAGGGGAGAUACUAUGAUAAACAGGUUUUUCCAGAGUGAAGCCUGUCCAUUGCACUCUGGGUAGGCUGACCCCUGUUCGUUUCCCAAAUGUGAGAAACUUGACUACACAAUUUUGUGGUAAUGGGGGACUGCAUUUGUGCUUUCCCUCU